rnacentral:rRNA from 1 species
UCCUACGGGGGGCAGCAGUGGGGAAUAUUGCACAAUGGGGGAAACCCUGAUCCAGCGACGCCGCGUGAGUGAAGAAGUAUUUCGGUAUGUAAAGCUCUAUCAGCAGGGAAGAAAAUGACGGUACCUGACUAAGAAGCCCCGGCUAACUACGUGCCAGCAGCCGCGGUAAUACGUAGGGGGCAAGCGUUAUCCGGAUUUACUGGGUGUAAAGGGAGCGUAGACGGCAUAGCAAGUCUGAUGUGAAAGAUCGGGGCUCAACCCCGGGCCUGCAUUGGAAACUGUUAAGCUGGAGUACAGGAGAGGUA